rnacentral:rRNA from 1 species
CAGCCGUAAACUAUGCUCGCUAGGUGUCAGGCAUGGCGCGACCGUGUCUGGUGCCGCAGGGAAGCCGUGAAGCGAGCCACCUGGGAAGUACGGCCGCAAGGCUGAAACUUAAAGGAAUUGGCGGGGGAGCACCACAACAGGUGGAGCCUGCGGUUUAAUUGGACUCAACGCCGGACAACUCACCGGGGACGACAGCAAUAUGUAGGCCAGGCUGAAGACCUUGCCUGAAUCGCUGAGAGGAGGUGCAUGGCGUAGACGUCU